GACGGAGGAUGCAAGCGUUAUCCGGAAUUAUUGGGCGUAAAGCGCGUGUAGGCGGCUUUGCAAGUCGGGUGUGAAAGCCCUCAGCUUAACUGAGGAAGUGCGCCCGAAACUGCAGAGCUUGAGUACCGGAGAGGAUGGCGGAAUUCCCCAAGUAGAGGUGAAAUUCGUAGAUAUGGGGAGGAACACCGGUGGCGAAGGCGGCCAUCUGGACGGAUACUGACGCUGAGACGCGAAAGCGUGGGUAGCAAACAGG
rnacentral:rRNA from 1 species